rnacentral:lncRNA from 1 species
CUUAAUCUGAUUAGACAUGGAGUCUAGUUUGGUUAUUGAACUAAAAAACUGCUUGAGUAGAUAUUUGUAUAUUUUGUCGGACUAACCCCUGCAGGAAAACUUUCAAUAUCAACCUGGGAAGUCCUGAGAUAAACUCACAUCGGAGAUGAAGAUAGAGACACAUCAAGUUUCACAAUUUACACAAGGAAGACAUAGCUCAUAAGAGAUGAUCCAUGGAGGGUGCCACGAUGCACAACCGCUAAGAAAGGAAAGCUUCCACAAGGUGAGACUGUACCAUCACUCUUCAAUUAAUGUAACACCUUAAGGUACUUGACUAUCACUUUUGUAAGCUUCUCAUUGGUUCUGGCGUUCAUAUGAAUAGAAGAGACACACAUGUAUGAUUUAUAACUCCAAAUUAACCAACCCCACUGAUUCAGCAUGUUUAGUCCCUUAAUCUUUGAUCCCCACACUCCUAGUCAUAUGAGCUAAAAUGUUGCACAUUUAAUCUUUGGGAAGGUAUAAAGAAAAAGACAUAUACAUAGAUAGAUUAUCUUUCCAUAAGUUUGAGCGAUCUGAUCUGACAAAUGUUAUAAGUGCUACACUCAUCAUUCAUCAACUUUGUCUUGCUCACUAUGCUUAAGGUUAGAGAAGAACAAAUACACUUUUGGUUCUUUUGGUGUUUUCCACCAACAGGACCCAUGCACUUGAUCUCUGCCUUGCCUCUAUAAGCAGGUACACUUGGAACAAAACAUGGUGGAGUUUUACAACUCCCAGAUUCCACCAAGUGAAGGACUUGGAUCUACAAGCACAAACACACUGAGCAAAAUACUGCCAACACCGCACUUCGAACUACUGGGCAAACAAAGAACAUGGGUGACACCGUAUUAAGAGGUGCAGACGUCAAGGUCCAUACCUAAAUCAAAUGACGCACCUGAAGAAUAAACACGGUGAGAAGUCUUGUUCAGAAGACUUAAAACAUUGAAUCCUCGCCGAAAGGUAAAAUCGGUAGUUACCCAUAUUUAUCCUUUCUACAUUCCCUUUUCCCUUUAAUUACUUACUUUCCUUAAAUAGCUUAUUAGUUAAUCAUGCUAUCUUGAAAAGAAAAUAAAAAUGUUAAAAAUACUAAGCCCCAUGUGAGUAUGCUCGUGGCAUGAAACCCAUAAGUACAUUCACUGUGGUGGCAUAAAAAUAAAAUAAAUAUAUUGUUGUCCUAUAGAAAUGAAAAUAUAAAAAUUUAUGAUCCUACCAAAGAGAGUAAUAUUUAUUAGAGGAAUCUCAACAUGAUAAAGGCAAAGAGAUUUUAUGCUAACACUUAACCAGUUCCACAAAGCUUUGUUGUCUAUUUGAGCUCCACAGAAUUCAAGGAUCAAAGAAGACUAGUAGACGGAGGACAUUCUAAUCGCUGUCAGGGUGCUACCGACAUUCAAAUACACCUCCGCCACCUUCUAGCUACAUCGAAAGAAAUUACGUCAAAAUCCAGCUUCGGGGAGAGCACCCCCAUUUAUCCAGCUAAGUAUUUCUAUCUACAUUUAUAAUUAUACUUUGUUAAAAUAAUAAAAAGAUGCAUAAUCAUAAAAAACCCAAAUAAAGAUUUUAUGCUUAUAUAUAUAUAUUUUCUUAGUUUGCUAAAUAAAUAAAUAAAUAAAUAAAGUUUGCUAUGAACCCUCAUGAUAAGCUCUCAUAUGGAAAUGAUGAAUAGUUACUCUGCCGUGACUAGUUCUCAAAAGUGAAAUCUCUCUCAAGUUUAGGUAUAACUGUUAUGAAUUAAGAUUUUCUCUAAAACCUGAACUUGUGGGAAGAGUACUUGAUCUAAAGUCUAAGUCGUUAACGGAUACGAUAUGGGAUGGUUGGGCUGCUAUUUAUCUGUUCCUAGAGAUGCUAGAAUUCUAGAGAAUUUUAUCGUUGAAAAUCUUUAAAAUGUUGCAUGAUGAGUUCCUGUAUGAUGAGAGUUUAAAAUCCCACCACAGCCAUAUAUACAUGCUUAUUAGACUAUGAACCAUAUAUUUACUUUUUACUGCUUAUGAGCAUUGAGUGUGGUCAAGCUGUGUAGACCCUUAGGAGCUUGUCAUGUGGUUAAAUCAAGAUUCACUUGCACGUUCACUCAUAUAUGCUACUUCUACUCCGGAAGUACCAUCCACAUAUAUCCAUCCAUUUUCAUCUCCAGAAUCACCUAAAAAUAUUCUACUCCUAAUUCGGGAGAGAAUAGCCAAAAACAUCUGUGUUUUUCCCUUGUGAAAUAAAUGCUCAAGUUAUCUUGCUACUACCACUUGCUAUAUUAUCUCAAGAGAUGAGUGCUCUGAAAAAAAAGAAAAAAAGAAAAAAAAUAAAAAAAAAUAAUAAACGAGGAAAUAAAAAGGGGCAAGUGCCCGGAACCUCGAAAGAAAAGAAAAAGAGUGAGACGAGAGGUAAAAAUGGACAAGUGUCCGACAGUAGAAUUAGGGGUACAGGAUACCCAUCUGAGAGAAAAUAAAAAGAAGAGCAUCUCAUUCUCCUCAUAAAGUUUCAAAAAGCAAGGAAGGUAUGUAUCUCCUCAAAAGAGCAAAAGUAGAAUUAGACUUUCACCAUUGUUAUCACCAUCAUCACCAUACACUAUUCAUUCGCCACACAUGCACAUCUUGAUUUGGCUUAUUGAUUUGUUUCUUUGGAUCCAUGGUUUGACUAUACAAUAAAUGUCUUGUAAGUAUGUAUAUUUUAUCUCCCACCUAUGAGCUCCAGAUAUUAAAGCCUUAUUAGAGUAGGGUGAGAGAGAAGACAAUGUCACUAUCCCUUAUACCACAAAUACCACAUAUUUUGAGAGAAGGCAUAUACCAUCACUGCCUUGGUAAGGAUCCAGAAAUACCACAAAAGAGAGAUAUGAGAGAGUCAUACAAAGGAAUCUCUGAGUUUUAUUUGAAAAUCUACAAAAACUCCAGAGCUAUAGCUGAUCAAGAAUAAGCGACAUGGCACUUGACUGGACUGUUCUAUCUUUUAACCACUCAAGACAGAAGUGACGGUUACAAGUCCCAUGGUGAAAGGUAAAGUAAGUAAGUUUUAAGUCUUGACAGUUUACUCUAACUCAGAGAUGAGACCUCAUUUAAAAGCAUGUGUACCGUCAAUUUUUAAAGAUAUUGCAACAACUUAUGAUCCAUAGCUGAGUCUAUCCUUGCUCAGGGACGAGCAAGAGGUAAGCUUGGGGGAGUUUGUUGACGGUCCUUAAGUACCACAUUUAACUAUCAAAUAAACAAAGAAAAAGAUCCAAAUGAAAUCAACAUCGAGACUUAUGGUUUUAUCUGACAGAAUUCCACGAGUUUUGGUAUUUGUCUAUUUCUGCAGGGGGUUAUCAGGAAAUAAGGAAAAAAGGCCCACACGUCGGGAUUACAUAGAGAUAUCAACGUGCCGCGCAAUUAUCUUACAUCUAGAAGACUCCAGAAGCCACGGGAAGGAAGCGGAGAUCGAACGGAGUCAGGGACAGGGCGCCCGCCCAAGUCCUUAGGGCGCCCGCCCACCUUUUUCGGCCAAUCAUGCUCAAUCUCGCGGAUUAUGCUCCACCGACCUAAAGGAUCAAGAAUAACCGUUCAAUCAAUGUCGGUUUGAUCCGACGGCCCAGGUUCACUUGAGGGGACUAUAUAACCAGACCCCCUGGCCCCUGGAGGAGGCACCCCUUGAUCAUUAUUUAUUAUUCAUAGACAGAGCAAAAGCUAGGGUUUAGAGAUGACAGCUCUCCUCUCUUCUCUAAACUAGAGUAGAUCUAGAUAGUAGCAACAUGGAGAGCGAAGUAGGAUUAGAGGAGAGGCCGGCCUGUCAGUUCUUCCUCCGGUUGUACUUCAUCAUGAUCAAGCUCUAAUCAAGCUUGCUCAUGGGAUGACUCUGGUAAUCUACUUCUAAUUCAUUAUGCAAUUACUAAUCAUGUAUGUUCUGGUUCACAACUCUUUUGAGUACUUCUAAUCUAUAGGACCCUAUAGGUUAGAGUUGUAGUAUAGGUGUAAGCGUGGUGCUUAGACCUAGAUUACUUGUGGAUAUCCCCUGU